UUGAAACCUUAAUCUCUACCACCCAUAACUCAAUCGAAGAAUUCCCCCAAUUUCAUUUUCUAAUUUCAAUUUAAGCUCUCACCAACAAUUUCAUUCGGUUUACUCUCUAGCUCGACCCAUUCCGUUUUCACACUCGACCAACAAUCUCAUUCGGUUCACUAUCAUUAAGCUCCCGUUUUCAACAAAUUUCUGCUGGGUUCACUCUCUAGCUCGACCCAUUCAGUUUUUCAACAGAUUUCCGCUGGGUUCUUGAUCUCAUUUCACAGAUUUUCAGAUUUCCACUGGGCUCUUGUUCUCGUUUCACAAAUUUUCAAGAUAUGAGUGAAAGAGAAAAGUUUGAGCUUGAUAGAAAGGAGGAUCCUUGGAGGUUUGUCUGUAUCCGAUUUGUGUCCUCUAAUCAAGCUGGUAUAUAUGGACUCCACAAUGUCUGUUGAGAAGUUUAUGAAAGGGAUGUGGCUAAACUAAGUGAAGAGCAGUCUGAGGUUAGAGAGAUGAUACAAAUUUGAUACUCAUGAGCAGAACCAUGAUGUUGUUGCUGGUACCUAAAGGAAGCAAAAUAACAGUUCUAGUUUUGUGUUAUGAGUGGAAGGCGGUUUAGAACAAUGAUGUCAAUGACCCAAAAUCUAGCUCUGCAACAUUGGCUUGAAGUUGUUAUCCAUAGUUACUUAUAUUUGUGUUCCUGCUGCAAGAAGUGUUUAGUUUAGAUCGGUGGUAGUCUGAACAUCCUUUUUGGGCAGCAAAGGAGAACGCGUAGUAAAAUGCAAUUAAUCGGGAAAGGCUAGCGGUCCCUCAUACAUGUGUUGCUUUGCACCAGUAAUUGAGUUGGCUGCACGUGUUGCUGAUGUUACUCCUCUUCCUCCUUGUCUAUUUUUAAUGCCCUUACUUGUUCUCCCAACAUUCCAUCUCCGGCACUCCAAAUUUCAGCAUCAUCGCUGACAACAGCUGGUGAAAAUUUGUCAUUUCCUAUUUAGCUUCUCUGCUAUAUGCUUAUAUUUAGAAGGGAAUAAAAAAGUCGUACCUCUAAAAGCACACAACCUAGCAUCAACUAAGGAACAAUUGCAAGCUGAAAUGCAAACAAACUCAAUUUGAGAAUGAAGCAUUUGUCAAAGGGUUUGGAAAGGGACAUGUUGGAUAUGUCAAUUUGCGAAUGAAGUAUUUGUCAAAUUGUUUGGAAAGACAUUCAUCUCAGUCUAGCUAUUGUCUUGAGGAUCAUGGAGCACCUUGACUAAGGGAUACCUAGAUAUUUUUAUAUAGUUUUAACUCUGAUACAAUAGUUUUGAAUGUCUAGGCGACUUAAAUUUCCACUAGUGUUUUGGUUUUUGAAUGUUUAAACCAUGUACUUUAUCUAUUGUUUUGAUUGUUACUAUUAAAAGAAUUAUAUUUAUGGGAUUUAGAAAUUUUUAGU
rnacentral:lncRNA from 1 species